CCUACGGGUGGCAGCAGUGAGGAAUAUUGGUCAAUGGGCGCGAGCCUGAACCAGCCAAGUAGCGUGAAGGAUGACUGCCCUAUGGGUUGUAAACUUCUUUUAUAAAAGGAUAAAGUUAGGCACGUGUGCCUUUUUGUAUGUAUUUUAUGAAUAAGGAUCGGCUAACUCCGUGCCAGCAGCCGCGGUAAUACGGAGGAUCCGAGCGUUAUCCGGAUUUAUUGGGUUUAAAGGGUGCAUAGUUGGGUUGUUAAGUCAGUUGUGAAAGGUUGGAGCUUAACCCGAGAAUUGCCAUUGAUACUGGUGGCCUAGAGUACAGUUGAGGUAGGCGGAAUGCAUGGUGUAGCGGUGAAAUGCUUAGAGAUCACGCAGAACUCCGAUUGCGAAGGCAGCCUACUAAGCUACAUCUGACAUUGAUGCACGAAAGUGUGGGUAGCAAACAGGAUUAGAUACCCCAGUAGUC
rnacentral:rRNA from 1 species